rnacentral:rRNA from 1 species
UACGGAGGUGGCAAGCGUUACUCGGAUUGAUUGGGUGUAAAGGGUAUGUAGGUGGCAAAUUAAGUCGAACGUGAAAUCCCUUGGCUUAACCAAGGAACUGCAUUCGAAACUGAUUUGCUUGAGCGACGGAGAGGAAAGCGGAAUUCCCGGUGUAACAGUGAAAUGUGUAGAUAUCGGGAGGAACACCAGUGGCGAAGGCGGCUUUCUGGACGUUUGCUGACACUGAAAUACGAGAGCUAGGGGAGCAAACAGG